GACGAACGCUGGCGGCGUGCUUAACACAUGCAAGUCGAACGAAGUGGCGAACGGGUGAGUAAUACGUGAGUAACCUGCCCUCCUUUUUGGGAUAAGCCUUGGAAACGGGGACUAAUACCGAAUAAAGGGGGAUGGGCUCGCGGCCUAUCAGCUGGUGGGUGGGGUGAUGGCCUACCAAGGCGGUGACGGGUAGCCGGCCUGAGAGGGUGACCCGCGACAUUGGAACUGGUCGACGGCCCGGACUCAGGCGGGAGGCAGGAAUAGGGGAUAAUGGGCGAUGGUCUAAAGCCGGAUGCAGCGGUGUCGCGUGAAGGAUUUAGGCUUGUGGGUUGUUUACCUCUGUCACUAUCGAACGGGUAGGUGGAGAAGAAGCCCCGGCUAACUACGUGCCAGCAGCCGCGGUAAUAC
rnacentral:rRNA from 1 species